rnacentral:rRNA from 1 species
GAUGAACGCUGGCGGCGUGCCUAAUACAUGCAAGUCGAGCGAACAGACGAGGAGCUUGCUCCUCUGACGUUAGCGGCGGACGGGUGAGUAACACGUGGAUAACCUACCUAUAAGACUGGUAUAACUUCGGGAAACCGGAGCUAAUACCGGAUAAUAUAUUGAACCGCAUGGUUCAAUAGUGAAAGACGGUUUUGCUGUCACUUAUAGAUGGAUCCGCGCCGCAUUAGCUAGUUGGUAAGGUAACGGCUUACCAAGGCGACAAUGCGUAGCCGACCUCAGAGGGUGAUCGGCCACAUUGGAAGGGGAACACGGUCCAGACUCCUACGGGAGGCAGCAGUAGGGAAUCUGACGCAGUGGGCGAAAGCCUGACGGAGCAACGCCGCGUGAGUGAUGAAGGUCUUCGGAUCGUAAAACUCUGUUAUUAGGGAAGAACAAAUGUGUAAGUAACUAUGCACGUAUUGACGGUACCUAAUCAGAAAGCCACGGCUAACUACGUG